rnacentral:lncRNA from 1 species
AAAAAGAGAGAUAAGUGAGAUACAAAGUGAUAGUGAAGCCUUGUAAAGCUUUCUUUUGAAGACAUAUAAUUUUCUUCCUUCCAUCAUCAUUCUCCUUUGUGUUUAGCCAAUACCCUUUCUCUACAAUCGAGCUUCCAUUGCCACAAUCACCCAACCGCUUUUGUUUUGAGUUAUUGGUAAGGCUGAACUUAGUUCGUGAAGCUAAGUGUUGCACGGUAGAAAGUAAAAUUCGAGUAUUAAAUCCCUUACUCCGUGACAAUAUACAUUUGCAAGACCCAAAUGGGUAGAGUACAUACAAAGGAGAUACUAGUCCAAACAAAACAAAGUCAAACCACAAUCAAACCCAACCCAAUCGAUGAAAACGAGGCACCAUUUGGAACACUCGCCAAUGGGGUGUGAGUAUUCGGUCGGUUUAAUUU